rnacentral:tRNA from 1 species
GGUCUCAUCGUCUAGCGGUCUAGGACACUGCCCUCUCACGGCAAAAACACGGGUUCAAUUCCCGUUGAGACUA